CCUACGGGUGGCUGCAGUGGGGGAUAUUGCACAAUGGGGGAAACCCUGAUGCAGCGACGCCGCGUGGGCGAAGAAGUAUUUCGGUAUGUAAAGCCCUAUCAGCAGGGAAGAAGAAAUGACGGUACCUGAGUAAGAAGCACCGGCUAAAUACGUGCCAGCAGCCGCGGUAAUACGUAUGGUGCAGGCGUUAUCCGGAUUUACUGGGUGUAAAGGGAGUGCAGGCGGCACGGCAAGUCUGCUGUGAAAGCCCGCGGCCCAACUGCGGGACUGCAGUGGGUACUGCCGGGCUGGAGUGCAGGAGCGGUAGGCGGAAUGCCUAGUGUAGCGGUGAAAUGCGUAGAGAUUA
rnacentral:rRNA from 1 species